rnacentral:rRNA from 1 species
CUAAGUGUUCUCGUUCCGGGAACUUGUAAGGCAGCUCCACCAAAAGCUUCUUUUUCAAAUACAACUCAGGGCCCCGGGGGCCGCGAUUCAAAAAGUAUUCUCUUUUUUCCCCGGAGAUAGCAUAUCAAUAAGCGGAGGAAAAGAAACCAACAGGGAUUGCCCCAGUAACGGCGAGUGAAGCGGCAACAGCUCAAAUUUGAAAUCUGGCCCCCAGGGCCCGAGUUGUAAUUUGCAGAGGAUGCUUUUGGUGAGGUGCCUUCCGAGUUCCCUGGAACGGGACGCCAUAGAGGGUGAGAGCCCCGUCUGGUUGGAUACCGAGCCUCUGUAAAGCUCCUUCGACGAGUCGAGUAGUUUGGGAAUGCUGCUCUAAAUGGGAGGUAUAUGUCUUCUAAAGCUAAAUAUUGGCCAGAGACCGAUAGCGCACAAGUAGAGUGAUCGAAAGAUGAAAAGCACUUUGAAAAGAGGGUUAAAUAGUACGUGAAAUUGUUGAAAGGGAAGCACUUAUGACCAGACUUGGCCCCGGUGAAUCAUCCAGCGGUUCCCGUUGGUGCACUUUGCCGGGGUUCAGGCCAGCAUCAGUUCGCUCCGGGGGAUAAAGGCUUUGGGAAUGUGGCUCCCUCGGGAGUGUUAUAGCCCAUUGCGCAAUACCCUGUGGCGGGCUGAGGUUCGCGCUUUAUGCAAGGAUGCUGGCAUAAUGGUCAUCAGUGACCCGUCUUGAAACACGGACCAAGGAGUCGUCUUCGUAUGCGAGUGUUCGGGUGUUAAACCCCUACGCGUAAUGAAAGUGAACGCAGGUGAGAGCCCUCCAGGGCGCAUCAUCGACCGAUCCUGAUGUUCUCGGAUGGAUUUGAGUAAGAGCAUACGGGGCCGGACCCGAAAGAAGGUGAACUAUGCCUGUAUAGGGUGAAGCCAGAGGAAACUCUGGUGGAGGCUCGCAGCGGUUCUGACGUGCAAAUCGAUCGUCAAAUAUGGGCAUGGGGGCGAAAGACUAAUCGAACCUUCUAGUAGCUGGUUUCCGCGAUCUU